GAAAUACUUGAGAAUUCAGUGUUGCCACAUUUAGACCACAUUGCGAAAGAUCGGGAUAUUUUUGUGCAGAUCCGAGGUGUCCAGCUUCUGGUCGAUGUUAUUGCAUCCUCUGAUUCACCGAAAGUUUGCGAUGUUUUGCAUACAAUCGAGAAGAUUGCCACUGUCCAGUAGAUCCUCUCAAGCGAUACGUCAAGCCGUCGUGUAAAGAACAUGUAAGAAGAUUAGUGGUUAUAAAUUACAUUGGAGUGAACGAAAGGUUCCAGUGACGUUAGAGAUCUCAGAUUAUCCUAAAGGAUUUGUUGUUGUCUGUGGUGGUUUUAGCACAAUGCAUCUUUUCACAUCAGAGAGGAAUUGCUGAAAAAGAUGAUGGAAUCUUCUUUCAAUAAUGUUGGUGUUACGAUAAAGCAGAAGAAAAGUUCCAUGAAAGUGGAGUCGUUUUUUUAAAACAAAUUUGGAAAAUACAGUUGAAUGAUAUAUUAUUAAGACAGUAUUUCGUUUGUCCUGUGUAAAGAAUGUGGGAUAUGACAGUAAAUGACAA
rnacentral:lncRNA from 1 species